rnacentral:rRNA from 1 species
AGCGAACGCUGGCGGCAGGCCUAAAACAUGCAAGUCGAACGCCGUAGCAAUACGGAGUGGCAGACGGGUGAGUAACACGUGGGAACAUACCCUUUGGUUCGGAACAACACAGGGAAACUUGUGCUAAUACCGGAUAAGCCCUUACGGGGAAAGAUUUAUCGCCAAAGGAUUGGCCCGCGUCUGAUUAGCUAGUUGGUGGGGUAACGGCCACCAAGGCUACGAUCAGUAGCUGGUCUGAGAGGAUGAUCAGCCACACUGGGACUGAGACACGGCCCAGACUCCUACGGGAGGCAGCAGUUAGGAAUCUUGGACAAUGGGCGCAAGCCUGGUCCAGCCAUGCCGCGUGAGUGAUGAAGGCCUUAGGGUUGUAAAGCUCUUUCAGCGGGGAAGAUAAUGACGGUACCCGCAGAAGAAGCCCC